UACGGGGGGGGCAAGCGUUGUUCGGAAUUACUGGGCGUAAAGGGCUCGUAGGCGGCCAACUAAGUCAGACGUGAAAUCCCUCGGCUUAACCGGGGAACUGCAUCUGAUACUGGAUGGCUUGAGUUUGGGAGAGGGAUGCGGAAUUCCAGGUGUAGCGGUGAAAUGCGUAGAUAUCAGGAGGAACACCGGUGGCGAAGGCGCACAUCUGGCCCGAUACUGACGCUGAGGCGCGAAAGCUAGGGGAGCAAACGGG
rnacentral:rRNA from 1 species